rnacentral:sRNA from 1 species
GAUGAAAAUGACGUUUUUGGAAAAGCUGAAAAUACAUGCUUUCCAUUUCGCGAUUCAUC